rnacentral:rRNA from 1 species
UACGUAGGGUGCGAGCGUUAAUCGGAAUUACUGGGCGUAAAGCGUGCGCAGGCGGUUUUGUAAGUCUGACGUGAAAUCCCCGGGCUUAACCUGGGAAUUGCGUUUGGAGACUGCAAGGCUGGAGUCUGGCAGAGGGGGGUAGAAUUCCACGUGUGAGCAGUGAAAUGCGUAGAGAUGUGGAGGAACACCGAUGGCGAAGGCAGCCCCCUGGGUCAAGACUGACGCUCAUGCACGAAAGCGUGGGGAGCAACAGG